AGUGAACGCUGGCGGUAGGCCUAACACAUGCAAGUCGAACGGCAGCACAGUAAGAGCUUGCUCUUACGGGUGGCGAGUGGCGGACGGGUGAGGAAUACAUCGGAAUCUACUUUUUCGUGGGGGAUAACGUAGGGAAACUUACGCUAAUACCGCAUACGACCUACGGGUGAAAGCAGGGGAUCUUCGGACCUUGCGCGAUUGAAUGAGCCGAUGUCGGAUUAGCUAGUUGGCGGGGUAAAGGCCAACAAAGGCGACGAUCCGUAGCGGGUCUGAGAGGAUGAUCAGCCACACUGGAACUGAGACACGGUCCAGACUCCUACGGGAGGCAGCAGUGGGGAAUAUUGGACAAUGGGCGCAAGCCUGAUCCAGCCAUACCGCGUGGGUGAAGAAGGCCUUCGGGUUGUAAAGCCCUUUUGUUGGGAAAGAAAAGCAGCAGGUUAAUACCCCGCUGUUCUGACGGUACCCAAAGAAUAAGCACCGGCUAACUUCGUG
rnacentral:rRNA from 1 species